CAUGAAAUUGAUAUAGCCUUUGAUGCAAAGAAAGAUAUAAGGAUUGAUUUGUUUGGACAACUGUCCCAGACCGUUAAGCCUUGUCAAGUUCAAUACAAAUCAAAGAAAUUUCAGCAGGCCCAGAUCAUGACAGAACAAAUAAAACGCAUUGUCAAGUUUGAAAAGGAUACGGAAGUAAAACUCAAAGCGGGGUCGGAUAGUUUUAAUGAUCUGGCAAUCACAGUCGACAAUAAGCUGCUCCUGACUAAUCGGUCAUUUUAUGGUCCGAAACUUUCUGUCUACAGAGACUGUAAAGAUUAUGAUACAGAGAUAAUACUUUCCUCUCAACCUUAUGGUGUUGUUGUGUUACAUGGCACAGAGAGAGCUGUUGUUACUCUUCCUGUCGAGGAUUCGAUACAAUUUAUAAACACCACAACGAUGACAAAGGAUAACAAAGUUAAAGUCGGAUUUGCAUGUUAUGGUAUCACUGCUGGACGUGACAG
rnacentral:lncRNA from 1 species